GACGAACGCUGGCGGCGUGCUUAACACAUGCCAGUCGAACGGAAAGGCCCUGCUUUUGUGGGGUGCUCGAGUGGCGAACGGGUGAGUAACACGUGAGUAACCUGCCCUUGACUUUGGGAUAACUUCAGGAAACUGGGGCUAAUACCGGAUAUGAGCUCCUGCUGCAUGGUGGGGUUUGGAAAGUUUCGGCGGUUGGGGAUGGACUCGCGGCUUAUCAGCUUGUUGGUGGGGUAGUGGCUUACCAAGGCUUUGACGGGUAGCCGGCCUGAGAGGGUGACCGGCCACAUUGGGACUAAGAUACGGCCCAGACUCCUACGGGAGGCAGCGGUGGGGAGUAUUACACAAUGGGCGGAAGUCUGAAGGAGUAACUCCGCGUGCGGGAUGACGGCCUUCGGGUGGGAUGCCGCUUUAGGCAGUGACGAAGCGUGACUGACGAUAAUGGGUACAGAAGCACCGGCUAACUACGUG
rnacentral:rRNA from 1 species